rnacentral:rRNA from 1 species
CCUACGGGUGGCAGCAGUGAGGAAUAUUGGUCAAUGGACGAGAGUCUGAACCAGCCAAGUAGCGUGAAGGAUGACUGCCCUAUGGGUUGUAAACUUCUUUUAUAUGGGAAUAAAAUGUUCCACGUGUGGGAUUUUGUAUGUACCAUAUGAAUAAGGAUCGGCUAACUCCGUGCCAGCAGCCGCGGUAAUACGGAGGAUCCGAGCGUUAACCGGAUUUAUUGGGUUUAAAGGGAGCGUAGGUGGAUUGUUAAGUCAGUUGUGAAAGUUUGCGGCUCAACCGUAAAAUUGCAGUUGAAACUGGCAGUCUUGAGUACAGUAGAGGUGGGCGGAAUUCGUGGUGUAGCGGUGAAAUGCUUAGAUAUCACGAAGAACUCCGAUUGCGAAGGCAGUUCACUGGACUGCAACUGACACUGAGGCUCGAAAGUGUGGGUAUCAAACAGGAUUAGAUACCCCAGUAGUU